GGACUACAGGGGUAUCUAAUCCCGUUCGCUCCCCUGGCUUUCGUGUCUCAGCGUCAGCAUUUCCCCAGCGAGCUGUUUUCACCAUUGGCGUUCCAAAUGAUAUCUACGCAUUUCACCGCUCCACCAUUUGUUCCGCUCGCCCCUAGAAAGCUCAAGACAACCAGUAUACCAAGCAGUUCCACGGGUGAGCCGUGGGAUUUCACAAGGUACUUAGAAGUCCGCCUACACACGCUUUAAGCCCAGUGAUUCCGCCUAACGCUCGAGGCCUCUGUAUUACCGCGGCUGCUGGCAC
rnacentral:rRNA from 1 species